rnacentral:lncRNA from 1 species
GCUUUUUUUUUCUUUUUCUUUCCUCCCUUUAAAAAAAUAAAUAGUAAAAGGAGCGCGGCGGCGGAGCGGCGCGGACCAGCGCGGCGAGCUGCCCCCGCCCGCCCGGGGCCGGGGAUGGUUUCCAAGCCGCCGUGCGCGGAUCCCAGUGCCGGGCUGGCUGCGGAGCGCGCCGCUUGGAGCGUGGCCGCGCUCGGCGCCUUCGCUCUAAUGAUUUUAAUUGCGUGGUUUUUGCUUUGAGUGAACUAAAGCGAGUGCGAUUACUUCUUCUUUUUUUUUUUUCUUUCUUUCUUUCUUUCUUUCUUUUUUUUUUCCCCGGUUUCACCAAAAGGCGGUCAGCAUCAGUUAUUCAGACGUAACGUACCUACCAAAGGUAUACGCUGCCUGCAAGCGCUCUGAAUGCCACUUCUUUAGAGGAGCCCAACUUCGGUGCUCAGAAGUUUAAGUCUCCUGAGAACGUUUUUUCUGAGCGAUUCCAGCUUCCAGACACAUUUGCCAUGAUAAGGGUUUCGAUCCUUUCCCGUGCUUGCUCUGAGCCAUGAGUGGAUAUGUGUGAUGCCUGCAAGUAAAACUGAAAUAGUUCGCUGCAGUUUCCUGUUGAAGCUACCAGAUUUGCUGGUGCGGCUCGCUGCCCCCGGUUCGAGGGCAGUGCUGCGGCUCUGCCCCUCGGCGCGCUGCGAGCACGUAGGGAACGCUCUGCCGUUACCCGGAGAUGCUCUCCGCUACUGUAAGUACCAGUACAGCAAUAACUGAAGCGGCAACCACUGUUUGAUGCUGUUUCAACAAAGGUUAACUCCUUCCUCUUGGCUUUUUCAGUUCUUUUUAGUCAUAGCAACUGCAGUGCAAGCUUUUUUUUUUUUUUUUUUUCAACUGGUUUUUGCUGAUUUAUUUAAAUCGCAUUUUUGUUUUAAUAACCUGUUUCUAGAAAUGUGCUUGAAUCUUAAAAGU